rnacentral:rRNA from 1 species
GGCCUGGUUGAAUGGUUUAGACGCAAGUUUAACACUGUUCUUACUGGGUCUUUCCUUCUAGGGAACUAGUGUGCUAUUUAUUUAGUGCGCUAGGGAUCUAGGACUGUUACUGUGAAAAAAUUAGAGUGUUCAAAACAGGCUUAUGCUUGAAUACAUUAGCAUGGAAUAACGGAAUAGGACUUUGUUUCUAUUUUGUUGGUUUACAGGAACAAAGUA